UACGUAGGGUGCAAGCGUUAAUCGGAAUUACUGGGCGUAAAGCGUGCGCAGGCGGUUGUGCAAGACCGAUGUGAAAUCCCCGGGCUUAACCUGGGAAUGGCAUUGGUGACUGCACGGCUAGAGUGUGUCAGAGGGGGGUAGAAUUCCACGUGUAGCAGUGAAAUGCGUAGAGAUGUGGAGGAAUACCGAUGGCGAAAGGCAGCCCCCCUGGGAUAACACUGACGCUCA
rnacentral:rRNA from 1 species